GCCUUCUCUUCCCAUCUCCAGGUACGCCAGUGGAUAGCUGACAGGGUCACGCCAAGUUCAUCUCCCGUGUCCCCUGGUCCUGACCCAUCCUCCUCCAGUGACUGGACCCCCAGCACCACUCCAAUCCCUCUCAGAGGCGCCCAUGGCAGGUUCCUCUCUCCUCCCACUACGGGCCCUGGGGGUUCCUCCCCGUCGGACCCGGUCACCCCCCAUCGCCCUCGAAUGGAGCGCCACGCCGACAUGGCCGAGCUGGCCAAACACGAAGCGGAGAUAGAGGGCAGGACCCUAGCACUGAAAAAGGAAGGAUUCUGGUCGAUGAAGCGACUGACCCGUUUGACGGAGCCAGUCCGAACCAAGGUGCACUGGGACUACCUGUGUGAGGAAAUGCAGUGGCUCUCGGCAGACUUUGCCCAGGAGAGAAGGUGGAAAAGAGGGGUCGCCAGGAAGGUGGUGCGGAUGGUGAUGCGUCACCACGAGGACCUGCGGCAGAAAGAGGAGAAGGCGAAGAGGGACGAGCACGCCAAAAUCAGACGGGUCGCCUCCAACAUUGCCAAGGAGGUGCGGGCCUUCUGGAGCAGCGUGGAGAAGGUGGUGCAGUACAAGCAGCAGUCCCGGCUGGAGGAGAAGCGGAAGAAGGCUCUGGACCUCCAGCUGGACUUCAUCGUGGGCCAGACGGAGAAAUACUCCGACCUCCUCAGCCAGGCCCUGGAAACGGCCCCGGCUGGGAUCAGUGAACCUGCGUCCUCACCGCACAGACGACAUCUUCCGCCUGCCGAGGAGGAUGACGAGGAGACCAUCGAUGUGGAGGAGGCGCAGGAUGGCAAUGAUGCUGAGACCCAGAGGAGAGAGAUUGAGCUGCUAAGACAGGAGGGGACCAUGUCCCUGGCGGAGCUGCUGAGUACCCUCAAAAGGCCCCAUUUGGUGGACACUGACUUUCCUCCUACCCAGGAUUCAGAAGAUGAGGAAGAGUGCUCAGACAACUCGUCUACGACGGUGGACGAAGACGAGGAGUUCACAGCCAACGAAGAAGAUGCGGAAGACGAGGAGGACACCAUUGCAGCCCAGGAGAUCGUGGAGGGGGAGGCCAAUCACGCCGACGAGCUGGACGACUUGGCCAAGGAAGGCAAUGAAGAUAGUGAAGAGGAAGAGGUCAGUGAAAACGAGGAGGACAGUAAUGAAGACGAGUGUGACGAGGGGAUGGAGAUCUUGCUGAAGGAGGGGGACCACAGCCCCCCACUACCAGCCGGCCAGCGACCCAAGAAGGAGAUCAGCCACAUUGCCGCCACGGCAGAGAGCCUGCAGCCCAAAGGCUACACCCUGGCCACAACCAAGGUCAAAACUCCCAUUCCGUUCCUGCUGGUGGGCCAGCUGCGGGAGUACCAGCACAUUGGCCUGGACUGGCUGGUCACCAUGUACGAGAAGAAGCUCAACGGCAUCCUGGCUGACGAGAUGGGCCUGGGGAAGACCAUCCAGACCAUCGCCUUGCUCGCUCACCUGGCCUGUGAAAAGGGUAACUGGGGGCCUCACCUGAUCAUCGUGCCGACCAGUGUGAUGCUGAACUGGGAGAUGGAGCUGAAGCGUUGGUGUCCUGGAUUCAAAAUCCUCACUUACUACGGCAGUCAGAAGGAGAGGAAACUGAAGAGACAGGGAUGGACGAAGCCCAAUGCCUUCCACGUGUGCAUCACCUCAUACAAGCUGGUGCUCCAGGACCACCAGGCCUUUCGACGCAAGUCCUGGCGGUACCUGAUCCUGGACGAGGCCCAGAACAUCAAGAACUUCAAGUCCCAGCGCUGGCAGAGCCUGCUGAACUUCAACAGCCAGAGGCGGUUGCUCCUGACGGGCACCCCUCUACAGAACAGCCUGAUGGAGCUGUGGUCCCUCAUGCACUUCCUCAUGCCCCACGUCUUCCAGUCCCACCGGGAGUUCAAGGAGUGGUUCUCCAACCCGCUCACCGGCAUGAUCGAGGGCAGCCAGGAGUACAACGAGGGCCUGGUCAAGAGGCUGCACAAGGUGCUCCGGCCGUUCCUUCUGAGGAGAAUCAAGGCGGACGUGGAGAAGCAGAUGCCUAAGAAGUACGAGCAUGUGGUCCGUUGCCGUCUGUCCAAGAGACAGCGUUUCCUCUACGAUGACUUCAUGGCACAGGCCUCCACUCGGGAAACGCUGGCCAGCGGUCACUUCAUGUCUGUGAUCAACAUCUUGAUGCAGCUCCGUAAAGUGUGUAACCACCCCAACCUGUUUGACCCGCGGCCAAUCCACUCCCCCUUCAUCACCAAGCCCAUCAUAUUCCACACAGCCUCCCUGGUGCAGCAAGCCCUGGAGAUCUCUCCAUUUAAGCGCUGUGACCUGUCCAUGUUUGACCUGCUGGGUCUAGAGGGCAGGGUUUCCCGCUACCAGGCCGACGUCUUUCUGCCCCGCCGGAAGGUCACCCGCCGGCUGAUCCAGGAGGUCAUGGAGUCCCCCGAGCCCCCGCCCCGCCCCAAACCCGUCCGCAUGAAGGUGAACAGGAUGUUCCAGCCACUACCGAAGGCGGACAGUCGCACCAUGCUGGUGGUGAACAACCCCCGGCCCACGUUGUGGCUGAAAUCCUGCCUUGUCUCGUUUCAUGAAACCUCAGCCGUGUGUUCGGUGGCCCCCACCGCCCCGCCGCGCCCGCCCACGCACCCCGGUGGCCCCUCGGUGGCGGGCACUGCCGCCCGGGCCGGCUCCCCGAUGCCGGUCGUGGCGGUGCGCCCGCCCACCUCCUCCGGCGCCCCCAGGCACCCCACCCCUCCUCCCAGCAACCUGAUGACCCAGAGAGUUCUGCUCAGCCCGGACAUGCAGGCCCGGCUUCCUUCCGGAGAGGUGGUGAGCAUCGCCCAGCUGGCGUCGCUGGCCGGUCGUCCCGUUUCGUCCUGCCAGGGCAGUAAGCCUGUCACCUUCCAGCUGCAGGGCAACAAACUCACCCUGUCUGGAACCCAGCUCCACCAGGUUCCUGUGGCCCCUGCGCGCCCGGUACAAGGUAAUGUCAUGCACCUGGUGACCAGCGGAGGGCAGCACCACCUCAUCAGCCAGCCAGCCCAGGUGGCGGUGUUCAGUUCAGCCAGCACCCACGCCGCCGCCUCCCCUGCGCCUUCGGGAAUCCAGUCCAGUAGCAGUCAAGAGGUUCUGACAUUUCUUCCCUCCCCAGUGCCCUCAUCCAUGGUGACCGGCUCUGGAAUUGUGAAGAUCGUUGUGCGCCAGUCGAGCAAGGAAGGAGGGGGGGUUCCGACGCUGGCUGUGCCCCCUUCGCCCCGGCUCGCCCCACAGGCAUCACCCUCCACCCUCCACCACGCCAACCCCGCUUUGAGAACUCAUGCCCCCUUGCAGACAUCACAUCGCCACCCCGGACCCGCCACCGCUCAGUACACCCUGGCCCCGCCCAGAACUCCUACCUCAGUCACAAUUAGGACCUCCACCCCAGCGCCCCCUCGUACCUCCACUCCGGCGCCGCCUCGAAUCCCUACACCUGCCCCUUCACGAACCCCGGCCCCGCCUCGAAUCCCUACGCCGGCCCCCCCUCGUACGUCUACGCCGGCCCCCCCUCGUACGUCUACGCCAGCCCCUCCACGUAUUCCUACCUCAGCCCCUGGUCAGUCUCCGAACCCUCAACCUGUCCAGAAGGCAGAAAAGGGCCCAGCAGAGACCAGCCUGGAACAGAAAGGUGAGGAGAUGGGAUCCAAAUUAAAUAAAACGGGCCCUUUAUUUCCGGUCCUUAUAUUGAAUGUUAUUUUUUUUUUGUCCUCUCCAGCUCGUGUGAAUUCUUCGUCGUCGUCGUCCUCACGAGAGGACAGUAGUGAAACGAAGUCAGCCGUUCCUAAAUCGGGGUCCCACGUUGGUGGAUUUGUCCCCCCUCGGCCUCGGGCACAACCACGUCCACCUCCUCGCUCCCCCUUCUUCAUGGUACUUUCAUUACGUCUGCUUCCCCGCAAGAAGCAGCGAGAUGGACGGCUGACUCAGAUCGUCCAGAUCAACGACCUCCACUGCAGCGCCAGUCCGGUGUAUGGCUACGAGGUGCUGGACUUCCUCACUUUCCUCCCAGGCCUCUGUCCCACUCCGGCCCGCCAGGCCCUGGGUCACUGGGGCAGCUCGGGCCACGCCGCCUGCCUGUUCGCCCAGUCCCGAAGCACCACUGACUACUGGGACCAGAGCAGCGCCCUGAGGGAGGCCAUCCACACCACAGAGGACAGGCUGCAGCUGCUCCAGGAUGUCAUAGAAAGGUUUACAUUUGUGAUCCCGCCGGUGGAGGCUCCGCCCAUCACCCUGCACACCUGUCACCCUCCCCCGUCUCUGAGCCACCAGCAGGCCAUGUUCACCUCGGGUCUCUCCGCCCUGGUGGCUCCGCUAACCCGCAGUCUGCACCGCAUCCAGUGCAACAUGAGGACCCACUUCCCCGACCUGAGGCUCAUCCAGUACGACUGCGGUAAGCUGCAGACCCUCCACACUCUGUUGCGGCGGCUGAAGGAGGGUCAACACAGGGUGCUCAUCUUCACCCAGAUGACCCGCAUGCUGGACGUGCUGGAGCAGUUCCUCAACUACCACGGACACAUCUACCUCCGCCUGGACGGCAGCACCCGCAUCGAGCAGAGACAGUCCUUGAUGGAUCGUUUCAACGCCGAUCGACGAAUCUUCUGCUUCAUCCUGUCCACGCGUAGCGGAGGCGUGGGCGUGAACCUGACGGGCGCCGACACGGUGGUGUUCUACGACAGUGACUGGAACCCGACCAUGGACGCCCAGGCCCAGGAUCGCUGCCACCGCAUCGGACAGACCCGCGACGUUCACAUCUACAGGUUGAUCAGUGAGCGCACGGUUGAGGAAAACAUUCUGAAGAAGGCCAACCAGAAGAGGAUGCUGGGAGACAUGGCCAUUGAAGGAGGCAACUUCACCACUGCCUUCUUCAAACAGCAAACCAUCAGGGAGCUAUUUGACGUGACGGAGGGGGAGAAGAAGGAGGCCGUGGUGGAGCUCACCGUACCCCAGCCUGAAGAAGAAGAGGCAGUCAAUAAACAGAGCACCACCAUCCUGGAGCAGGCCCUGUGUCGCGCAGAGGACGAGGAGGACAUAGUCGCGGCCUCCCAAGCCAAAGCGGAGCAGGUAGCUGAGCUGGCCGAGUUCAACGAGGCCAUCCCGUUGGAUGAAGCCGGUGAAGGGAGGGACCCGGAAGAGGAGGAGCUUUCCAAGGCUGAGCAGGAGAUAGCAGCUCUGGUGGAGCAGCUUACUCCUAUAGAGCGCUAUGCUAUGAACUUCCUGGAGGCCUCGCUGGAAGAUGUGUGCAAGGAGGAAUUGAAGCAAGCAGAGGAGCAGGUGGAGGCAGCCAGGAAGGGGCUGGACCAGGCCAAGGAGGAGGGCCUGAAGCUGCAUCCCUCGGUCCCCGGGUCAGAGCCGGAGCCAGACAGAGAAGUGCCCGACAGACUCCGUCCGGCUCCAAGGGCACGAGGGGGGACCAAAGACACCACCACCACUCCAUCCCGCACGGAGCAUCUCAGGCCACACGCCAAAACUGCAGAGACAUCUCCUGCCUCUCCUUCUAGAGACUUGGCAGUGCUGCCUCACCGCAACAAGGCCCACUCCAGCUCAGUGCCUUCCACUGCCACCAGUCCUCCAACUGGGAAACCGGAGAUGGUGGAGUCUGAUACACGGUCGCCCAGGAGGGAGAAGGGGGUGUGUGCCUCGCCAGAGUCCACAUGUCCUGUGGACCACCAGUCAUACUCUGCCCAGGCCAGGGAUGAUGACAGCAGAGACCAGGAGUCCCUGUUGCCCCCCUCUGUGUGCUCCCGGUCGCCGCGCAAGCGCCAGUCUGCCGAUGGUGAGGUCCUGCUGGGCCUUCCGGAACAUUCCCCGUCGGCCAAGGUCCUGCGGAAGCUCCCUGGUCGCCUGGUUACGGUGGUG
rnacentral:lncRNA from 1 species